ACCAUUCAUUUAUUAAAGACCGCGGGGCCAUGAAGAGAGAAUAUGAAGAAUUCAAAGUUAGGGUAAAUGGCCUUGUUGCUAAGGCACAGAAAGUUCCCGAGGAAGGAUGGAUCAUGCAAGAUGGCACACCAUGGCUAGGAAACAAUACCAGGGACCAUCCUAGAAUGAUUCAGGUUUUCCUUGGUCACAAUGGUGGCCUUGAUACUGAGGGCAAUGAGUUACCCCGUUUGGUCUAUGUUUCUC